AUAUACAUUAGGUUUGAAGCAGAGCCAGUUGUUCCAUCUUGUUCGAAAAAAGAUGGAUGGUUAUUUUGGCCAAUUUGUGUUAAUGCAAUGAAAGCUACCUAUAAUAAUUUUCCAGUCGUUGAUUCCUGCAACAAGAUUAGACUUAAAAGAGUUAAAGUAACUAAAGGUCAUUAAAUUUUAUGUUAAAGAAGUAUGUGCAGAAUUUAAUUUCACAAAAGGACUCCAAAGAAGAGGACUAAAGAGGACUCCAAAGAAGAAUUUCUGGUGGAUCAAGAUUGAGGAAUGAAUUGGUUUUAACUGGUUUGCAUCUUAUGAACGAAGUACAUAAUAUGAUUUAACUUGAUGAUUUAUAGUUACACCUAUUGAAUUCUGGUGGAUCAAGAUUGAGGAAUGAAUUGGUUUUAACUGGUUUGCAUCUUAUGAACGAAGUACAUAAUAUGAUUUAACUUGAUGAUUUAUAGUUACACCUAUUGAAUUCUGGUGGAUCAAGAUUGAGGAAUGAAUUGGUUUUAACUGGUUUGCAUCUUAUGAACGAAGUACAUAAUAUGAUUUAACUUGAUGAUUUAUAGUUACACCUAUUGAAAUUCUGUAUCUCAAUGAUAUCCCGGCUUAUCGAUACGAUAUCCCGUGAAUCCACUCACACACAUAAAUUUUACUCACCUGUAAAUCCUGUAAAUUCACACACACAUAAAUCUUAAAAAAGGUGUUUAUAUUUUUAUUUAUAAAUUGUAAAUUUUAUAUAAAUAAAUGGUAUAUUUUUUAUGUUUUUCAUUGUAUUUUACUAUUUGUAUUAAAA